UGCCAGCAGCCGCGGUAAUACGGAGGGUGCAAGCGUGGUUCGGAAUUAUUGGGCGUAAAGCGGGUGUAGGCGGUUCGACAAGUCAGAUGUGAAAUCCCUGGGCCCAACCCAGGAACUGCAUCUGAAACUGUCGGGCUAGAGUCUCGGAGAGGGUGGCGGAAUUCCCGGUGUAGAGGUGAAAUUCGUAGAGAUCGGGAGGAACACCAGUGGCGAAGGCGGCCACCUGGACGAUGACUGACGCUCAGACCCGAAAGCGUGGGGAGCAAACAGGAUUAGAUA
rnacentral:rRNA from 1 species